CAUCUUUGGAUUGGUAUCGAGACUAGGCUGGGGGAAGCUUUUUAACUUUUGGUGUCAUGUGAUAACCUUGAAGUGUCUUCUUUGGUAGUUCCAGUUGAGUGUGUUUCAGUGGUUAUGGUGAGGGAGCAGUAGAUAGAAAUACAAGGAGCCAUAAGACAACUAGCCAAUUGUACUUCUUUUCUUGUAGUCUGGAUGGACAGAAAAGGAGAGGUUUGAGGCCUGUGGUGAUAAGUUCAGGGCUAGCUUUCACCUGAAGUUUUAUUAAUGGAGAUAGAAGUUCCCCAAGGACUUGCAAACUGAGACUGUCUUCCAUGCUCUUGGCUGUCUUCAGAUUCCUCAUGUAACUAAGGAGAAAAGCAUACAUUUCAACAAGGGAAAUUGUUUACAUGUUUUUCCCCCCUUUGUCUGAGACUGUUUCAUAUGUUUUCUCUGUUGCUUGCUGGAUAAGAGUUAAUUCUUAUAGGCUGUUCAAACAUUGCUAUGUUAAAUAGCUCAACCUGUAGUCUCCAGUCCUGUCCAUGCAAUGGUCUAGCUCUACCUCACCUCUGGCAAAUAAAUUAGGAUCCUGCUAGCUUUCAGCUCCCUCUACAGUUAACAAAAAGGGAAACUAUCUGAGGGUUACACAGGUGACCUGAGACCUGAAUCACAGCUUGAAGACCCUGGUCUCUCUCCAUUGACUAAACAGAGAGCGUACCUUAUCUGUGUGCCUAACCUAGGCAGCUCAGAUACCAACUGGAAUUUGUGGGGAAACAUGAUGUAAGGGGUAUAAGUGAGCAAGGGUUAGAUGAGAGAGGAAAUACUUCUACCAAAACAGUGAGAUGAACUGAGAAAACUGGAAAAGGACUUCUGUCACUGCUUAGGGCCCAAGAGGAGGGAGAACAUUUGUCAAACAUAUUGUCUCCUUUUGCUGCAAGAUGGGAGGGUGGACCAAAAAUAAUAAUUCAAAACCUUGAAAGAUUUUGCAAAGCUGAAUUGUCUUCCUCUGGCAAUGCAAGCACACCCACCCCGGGCACAGAAAUGCUCCUCAGCCCCAGAGGAGUGCAGGGCUCUGCCUCUCACUACCACACCCAGUGCCAAGGACAUUGUGAGAAUUUGAAGACAUGGCUCUCAUCAGUAGAAAACUGGGUCUCCUCUACAAGCAACUCCUGAAGAAUUCAAUUGCCAUGAUGUGACGCUCCCUUCCUGAUAUACAGAGUUGCCAGGGGUGUCGUCUUUCUGCACGUUGGUGCGGUAGCCUGGACAGACAUCUCUCUCCACUGUGAUACCAGAUAUGUUCCUGAAUCUGGAAGCAACAGCUUGGGUCUAAAACAACCUCACCUACUAAAAGCAAGUCUGACAUGAUGCUUUUUGCUAUAUGCUGGCCUUUGGUUGUCCUAUAUAAAAUGUAGUAUCCUAGCUUCUGUUGCAUUCAGGGGAUCCCAGAGGCCAGACACAAAUGUGACUAUGUAAGUCUGAACCCAAAGCAAGAACUGAGAAUUGGACACAACCGAGGUGUUUCCCUUUAUUCAUCAGUUUCUCUCUUGGCCAGGUUGAGUCCAAUGUAGUUUACACAGGUUCAUACUGAUCUUA